CGAGGCGCGGGGUUCGGGCGGCGAAUCCGCUGCUCGAGCCGCCCGCCCCGCCCGCGCGCGCCGGCCCCCGGAGGAGGGUGCGCGGCGGAGGGGGGGGGGUGGGAGUCGGGGAGGGGCCGCGGCCCGUCCUCGCCCGCAGCGGGCACGGCCGGGGGCCCCCCGAGGCUUCGUUGGUAUUCCGGGCACAGCCGAAGCCUUGACCUCCCCGCGGAACAGAGGCGCCCGGGCCCGCGGGCACGGCCGCUGUCCCCGGGAGGUCUCUCCUGGCUGCGGGGCCCGUAGGCGCCUUGCUUCCCCCACCCCCUCCUCCCCGUCUCCUCCUCUCCGGGUCCCCCGUACCCCCUCCCCCGCCCCGAUCCGGCGGCGAAGGGGUGGGCAGGGAAACGCGCUCUCUGGGACAGGUGCCAACUCCGAGACAAAAGACAUAAAAUAGGCGGCAACGUGGGAAGCGCGGCCGGCGCGCUCGGGCGGGGACGGAGGCGCCGCGGGGGCCGCAUCCUCGGUGCCGACCGGGGAAAGUUUGGGAAGUCGCCGCGGCGGCUUCGCAGCGGCGGGGGACGCGCGGGCCGGGCCGCCCUCCGCGCCGCGCUCGCCCUCUCCGCGCCGCUGCUGAAUAAUUCAUGGCGCGGCCGCCGGCCAUUAGCAUGCACCGGGCGCGCGGCGCGUCUGUGCCAAGCCGCCGCCGCCGCAUUCGGCGCCCGGGCCGCGCCAGACGAGCGGCCGCGCGGCAGCCGGGCCCGCGCUGUCCCCGCGCCCGCCCGGCGGCGCCCAUUGUGCCCGGGCCGCGCCGCGGGGCCGCCCCGAGCCUGCCCGCAGCCCUCAGCGCGCCCGACGGCCGGGCUCUGCAAGUUGGGGCCCGCGCCUCCCGCCGGCCCGGGAAGCACGUGAACUUGGAGAAAGUCGCGGGGCGCGCCGGCCCGGACCUCCGCGGCAGGGCGUGGGCGCCCCCGGCCCGGCGCGCUUUCGUUUUCGUCGGGGACAAAGGUCCCCCGAGGCGCUAGUCGCGGACGCGGAGACCGGGUGCUGCCCGCCGCUCCUCGGAGAGGUCCGGCGGCUCCGUACCGGCAAGCCGGGGUCAGAAGAGGAGGAGCGGCGGGGUGCGGGACAUGGGCGCUGGGGCCUGGCCGUGCGCCUCGCCCGGCCGUCUCUCCGUCCCGGAGCCGUCCCGCCCUGCGAAGAGUUGCGGGAGAUGGCACCGCGCUGCGCUCUGCGGUUUACACGCGCCAAGGAGGGAAGCGUUUCGGACCAGGACUCAGACCCGCGGCCCAGGGCCUGUGCGGUGCGGGCGCGAGAGCGCAGCGCCGGCCGCGUCCCCGCGCGCUCCUCCGCCAAGGGCAGGGCAGUCGACCUGCGUGUCCCGGGUCACCAUCGGGUUCCGGGGCGACUCCUGCGGAUGGUAAGUGCAUUUCUCACUUUCGCUACUUAGUGAGUAUUUAAAUAUUAAUGAAGGGAUUUCUAAGAAGAGCCUGUAGGGCAGGCAGGCCUUCCGCAGACCCGGGAGGCUGCUCUUGAACCGGCGGCCCGUGCAGCUUGGCAAGAACUCCGCGGCCGUCGUUAAAAUUCAGGAACUUGUUAUUUGUGAAAUACAGUUUCCGAUCUCAGGUGUGCGGACCGUUUGCCAGAGAGAAUCUUGUCGGACACAGAAGAGAGCCAUAGCAGCUAUCUUCACCAGAAUAGAAAAAAGAGAAAAAGCAAGCAUCUGUUUUUAGGGGCGAUGUGUUGGGAAGGGUGAUCUGGAAGCAGCAAUCCCUCUUUGAAAAAUUGACAUCAUUCAUUCCUUUCCUAAGCCAGCCAAAGCGCCGCUUCUUCUUCUUUUUUUUUUUUUUUUUAAUUUUUUUUUUCCCCUGCUGGUCAAACAUUUAUGGAGAGCGGGCUUCAGGGGCUGCAGUCAAGCGUUGGUGGCCACUGGGCCGGUUGAGUGAAAGGCCCUUGUGUGGAGGCUCUUGUUUAUGGUGGCAUAAAAUGAAAAACAACUCAUAACUUUUCGUAAUAAAUCCCCCUUUAUAGGCGGCUCACACACAGGCCCAGCCGGCGGCCCUGGGGAGUUUGUGGGGAGGAAGAAAUGGGUGAAGGAAUGCACGUUUGCCAUAAUUACAGGGUUGUAAGGUAACGCUGAAAUGAAUUUCUUCAAAGUUGGGUUUCAGAAGCCAGGGCAGUCCCUGCAGGCCGUCCCUGUCUCCGUUUUUAUUUUCGUUCGUUGGUUCUAGCCAUUUGGGAUUUUAAAAUGCACGUUUGUACUCGCGGGCACCUAUCCUGUUAAAGUGAAACCCGUCCUGGAGGUGGCAGGGGCGGGAUGAAGGGCGCUUUUUCGUACCAUCCUACCAAAGUACGAUUUCUCCUCUGCUCUCCCCAUCUUACUGAUGUGGUUUGGAGAACCUUAAUGGGCGAUUUGACCACAAAAUAAUGGGCAGGGCCCCCCCCCCCGUUUCCAUAACGCCCCAGAGUUGUGAGCUGGCACCUGAAGGCCAUGUUUCCGGGAACGUGGACAGAGGCCCAAGUCGCCCAGGCCUGCCUCACGACAGCCUCUCCCCGGGCUGCCUGGGUUCCCUAGAAUCCGGAGGAAAGAGGAGACCGUUUGGCUAAGAUAUGGCCAACUCCGGGUGCAGAAGCCAAAAGUUUGCUCCAGUGCUGCGUACGGGACCCCGGGGGCCGCCCCUUCUGCUAGGCCGCUCUGCCCCCACACCCCUCACUCCACCUCCCCACCUCCCCCAUUUUGAAUUUUUAUUUAUGACGCUGUCAGAGGCAGUUAGCAGAUGUGAAACCCGGGUGGGACGUGCCAGAGCGAUCUCAGGAACGGGGUUGCCGCUGCGGAAGGCAUGCUGCUGCGGCCGGGAGCUGUUGCUUGGCGUUGGCAGUGGCCCGGCCCAUGCUCAGAAGAAGCUCAAGUUCCGGAGGACCCUCGCCUGCAGAGUGUGGGAGAUGUUCUCUCCGGGUCCGCAGAUGACCUGUGCCGUAUCUCGUGGUGGGCAGGGCCGUGUGGCAUUCUGCCGACCCCCCAAAUGAGGGGCAUCCGUGGCUGCUUCUCCCCGGGCCCGUGGGAGCAGGGAAAGGCCUGAGCAUCCAAGGAGGUGCCCGCAGGGCUACUUAGUGGGGGGGUUACCAUUUGACGAAGCUCCAGAUCCCCAUCUCGGCGGCCCGAGUGUGCCCCCAGUCCCUGGAGGGAGAUGGGGUUGACAGUCUCUAGUAAAUUGUGCUCCCCCACCCCACGCUCCCGGACAGAGGCCUGGCCUCAGCCCCAGCACCGUCCUGUCCUGCCUUUGUCCUUGUUGCUUUGGAGCCAGCCCGGUUCCGAGGGAGACUUGGGCCCCACCGGGGGCUUCUUACCGUGUUGGGCUAUCCCAACUGGGCAGAAUUCAUUUUUGAGGGUAUGCACACCAAAAUCGAGGUUCUGGAAAUGGCUCCUGUGUGGUUUUUGUCGCUUCUGGACUGAAUAGAAAGUGCUAGCCGGCGGACAGGGGCUCACGGACUGCGGUGGGCCAGUGGGAGGCUGGCCCUGGCAUUUCUGCUUUUGUUUUAAACCAGGGCCGGCCCCCGGGUCUUUCCUCGCCUGCGCUUGGGGCCGGGUCCUGCCCAGCCGUUGGCCACUUGAAGCCCCCAGAUCCUGGGUGAGGGGUGUCCUGGGUGCUGGUGGAGUCCAACUGCUCAACACAGGCGAUGUGUGGUGACGAGGCCUCCACUGGGGCCCGGGUGUACACCAUCACCUGAGCAGGGGCGGAUGGCGUUGUGCUAGGCUCCGUGGGAACAGCGGCAGCUUCGUGGCAGGGUCACUUUCUGGGUCUGUGUCGUUUGCCCCGAUGGGGCGGUUUAUGAACCAGUCUUGCUUGCUCCUGUCCUCAGAAGGGGCCUGGGGCCUGUUCUGCCCUGGUGUGGAUGAGGCCUGACGGAAAGGCAGUCCCUGGGGCUGAGGGAUGGGGCCUCUGCCUGAGCAAGUGCUCCCUGGUGUCCAGGGAAACCAGUGUGUGUCCCUAGUGAAGGCCAGUGUUUGGGAAGGGGGGGCAGCCCUUGCAGGCCUGCGAGGAAAACACCUCACAACCAUCAUGCUUGGUUUUCCUCGGGCUUAGAGGGUAUCCUUGCAUGUUUGGGGAGAAGGGAGAAGACACUUGUGGGAACCCCAUGAACGGGCCGGGGGUGGGGGUGUCCUGGCUCCCGUGGGGCAGCUCCCAUCUGGGCUUGCCCCUGGCUUACUGUGUGACCCCAGACAAGGCGGCUCACCGCCCCGGGCCUGCACUCUGAGCCCUAGCCCUGGGAAUAAUGACAGCACCGUCAGUGUCCAGACAGCUCUCUCCCCACAAAGCACAGUUCCUGGCACGUGGCAGGGACACCGUAGAGCGUGCUCAUGUUGUAAAUGGUGAUCACUGUGUUUACCAUGAGGGAUGAUUAUAUUCCUGAGUUUCUAAGAACCAGAGUCCAGUUUUGGUUUCUCUUGGAAGGACACCUACGAGUUUACUCCUCACCCCCGAAAGGUGAACUUUGAUAUUUUCUCCCAGGUGGAAUGCCAGGAAGCUUGCAAAGCCGGGCUUCCCUUGUCACGGGGACGUGGCUCGGAGGCACUGGGGACACUAGAUGGGAGCAAGGCCCCGUGAGGUCCUGGGACAUGUUUACCGAGGAAGGAGGGGAGCCUCCCCACAGAAUGGCACUUCAGGAGCUCAUGUGGGUGCUGACCCGGGGGUCUGACCUGUGCCUCUCACCCCUCUGGGGCUCCAGGGAAGAUCGAGGGCAGGCCGUCACCACUCGGGGGCCGGAGUGGCCACACCAGCUGCCAGCAUUCGAGCUGGCAACGCGGGUGUCGAUUUGGUGGGAGGGUUUCACUGCCGGUGAGCUAAUUGUUCUUCGGCCAAAUACAAGCAUGCAUUUCCCAGAACGCUUCGUUGAGGAGAAUCUGCUCUCUUAGCCGAUGGUUCAGGAAGAUCAGCAAGAUGGCCCUUUCUCAGAACGCGCUGUCGGGACGAGAAGGGAGCCCGGGCAUUGGCCAGACAUGCUGAUGUGUCAGAGCAGAGGAGGGGAAAACGCAACAAUUGUCUCCAAGCCAAGACAAUGGAUCUUUUAUAUGAAAUACUUAUUUUCAGGGCGGACCAGUGCCCUGUUGGCUGGGACGGCAAACCUUGAGUAUCUGGCUGUCACAGGCCCCGAGAACCCAGUCAGAGACGGAGAUUUCUAGAAAGGGGAAAAGGACCGUCUCCUGACCCCCGAUUCUUGGGAAAUGCAGUGGGAACGCCUGGCUUUCUUUGUUGAGUGGAGGCUAAACUUUCUCAAGUUUAAUUCUUUCCUUCCGGGAUCUCUUUCGCAAGACUGUGGGGGCUCCUCGCAAGCACGCAAGCACCGGAAAGGUAGCCAGGAUUGCAGGGUUCUGGUGGUGAGCUGGGUUGCCCCUGCCAGGGGCCAGACCUGAUGAACCUUUGUCUGCUGGGGGGCGUCGGAGGGUUGGCAGGGUAGGCACCCAAUGGAAGUGAGGAAAACCAGGACUCUUAAGAGGAAGGGUCCAUCUUCCCAGGAGGAGGCCAUCGAGAGCAAUUUCGGAUGAAUCUGUGAUUCUCUGGAGCCCUUCGCUCCUCCCAGAGCCCACGGUCCAGUGCCUUUGGGAGCAGCGUGUGGGUUAUCAGAGAGCCUGGCCUGCCGUGGUGAAGCCACACGCCAACCCUCACAUUCCGUCCCCGGCUGGAGAGGGUGUGUUUGUAACUCCUGACGGCCUGGCCCAGAGUUCGCCCUGGAAGGAUGGCUUUCUGAGUGACUAAAACGAACAGAGAGAGGGUCACUCUGAGGCUUAGGCACCCGCCGUCUGCCGUCUUCCCCACUCUGCCGCCGUGGAUAGCGUUCAGCCGGGUUCCUGCUAAAUCCACUGCCUCCAGGCAGCCGGGAAGGCGCCCCAAGAAGCGGGGCCCAGCCCCCAGGCUCCCGUUAGGGACUCGGAGGAACGGAUCCGGCGGGGGCCGGAACUGAGAGCGUCUUCCUGGCGUUGGGGGGACGUGGGGAAGGCUGUGGGGCUAAUCGGCCUGGGAUCCCUGCCAGCUGAGGGGGUCCUGAGUCUGGGCGCCCCUGCGAAGAGGGUGAGGACGGGAGGGAGCGGCCCCCGUGGGGGGGUGACGGAUGAGAGUCCCCCCCCCACCAAGCUUCCCUUCACCCACGAGUCUUUGUUGGCAAAUGAUAACAUUCGGCUUUCAAAAAGGAGGUUUCGUUUUUUAAAACUGCUUUUACAUGGGGUUUUUUGGCUUGGGUUUUUUGGGAUCCUGGAACUGUUUCACUCUGGUCUGUUUCACCUGCCUCCCCUCCCCCGAAAUGCCAUCAAGAGUCUCUUUUGGGAGUGACCAAAACGACGUCCGAGGCCCCGUGUCGAUUUGGUAAAAUCGAAGUAGAAAGUGCUGGAACGGUGUGUCAGCGGCAGAACACCCUCGGAGACGGGCUUUUAUUCUGGCGGCUGGGGCAGCCCCUGAAGUCGAUGGCCGAGGGUCUCGCUGUGAGAUCUGGAUGGUGGACUUGUUCGCGCCGGAUUCCGGACGCGUCUGAAACCCGCGAGGCUGCGGCGGGCGGCCGAGAGGUGGCUUCUCCGAGGAGACGUGUGAGAGCAGAGGCGAUGGCUGUUCUCGUGGUCGGAAAUGUGUGCAUGGCGAGGAUGACGUGAAACAGCUUUCUCUUUCUUUUUUCUUUUCUUUUCUUUUCUUUUAAGGAGUGAUAGUAUUUUCCCUUAAGAUUAAAAAAGGAGUGUUGUCCCUGAUCCCUUUGGCUUCUAGAGCUCGGGCUGGGUUUUUGGGCGGCAAACCGCCCUUCCUUAAUUCUGGCAUCUCAGACGGCAGGAAGAGUGUUUAGCUGAAAUAUUUACCUGCUUGGUCUGGGGCUCUUAAAUCUCGAUUCGCCUUUCAUGUGUUUAACAGCGAUAUUUACAUCCAAAUCAGCGCUUUAUAAUUACAUUUUAAGUUCUAAUAAAACGAUGGUGCCGGCUUUGUUGGCAGCGGGACUGAGUUCCAUGCGGGUGGCAUCCCCUCACCCAGACCGGCCUGGGCUCCGAGGGGGCGCCAGACACGCGGGUUCUGGCCUGCGGGGACACACGUGUGUACUGAGCAUGACAGGGUCUGUGCGUGUCACCUGUGGCGCCCUCCCCGCUCAGCCAGGGGGAGCAGGGCUCGUCCCUGGGGAUUCUGGCCCUGGCAGGUGGCGAUGCUGCCAAACCUUCCGGCACAGGGCUCCAACCGAGAAGGACCUGAUUCGGGCCUGGCUGCUCUGCCACCCGGACCGACGUGUUGUGUCCUGAGCCCCACGCUGGGGCAGAGGCCAUUAUCUCCUGGGCAGCCCUCUGGCCCAGCAAAGGCCACUUCUGGUUGUGGCCAUAUUGUGUACGCCUGUGCUGGGGUAAGGGACGCCCACUGCCUCUGCCUCCGUAACAACCGAGGUUCUGCUUUCUCUCCUUGGUCAGGGGCCAGUCCCAAAAUGGCCACCUGGUUUUCAGUGGCUUUCCCAGUGGAGCAUGGGAGCUGGGGGGCACCCUCUCCUCCCCAGGGGCCAGGCUGUUGGCGGCUGUGCCAAGCCGUUCCUGGAAUGGAAUUGCCCGCGUUCCUGGUUAGGCGCGUGGCACCGGAAUCCUACCUGCUUUGUCUCUGGCAUCAGCUGGUGAGCUGGUCACGUGGUAGUGUGCGUGAGACCAGAGCCCAAGGACCAGAGGACUCCUCCUGGACUGCUCCCUUCUUGCUCCGUCGCCUCGCCACCUCCCACCCCCUCCUUUGUGGGCAUGACCGUGUCUGAGCCUGCGCUCCCGUCCCCAGAUGCUCCGGUGUCUAGACAGUCCCUUAACCCCAGUCCUUACUGGCAGAAGGGCCCAUGAGCCAGACGACAGGCCCAGCCACGGCCAGUCCAUGCUGUGCCCUCCACUGGAGCACAGAGCUGGCCCUGCCUGUCCAGGGAGGCCCUGUCUCACACUGACAGCCCCGUGGCUCCCCGUGCACGGAGAUAGCAAGUGCCUGGCCACAUAAAGGGUCAAAGGAGAGACUUGCAGAUAGCACAGCCCCACAGACGUGGCCUGCCUGCCUUGAGCAAAGGACAGCCAAAUCUGGUGAAUCUCCAAAUAGAAGCUCCAAGUUAAACCCUCAGGCCCACUGACCGGUUCUGAGGGCCAUAGACCAGGCACACUCCAUCGUGGCCCCGUGUGGUGGCCAGGAUUGGCUUUGGCAGAGCUGAGGAGUCUGUGAUAGUCUGACAGGGUGUGGUGGCACGCCUGGACUCUGGACGCCGGGGCCCUCGUGGUGGCCCGGCUGCUUGGCAGCGCCUCUGGGCGAAGCGGCCGGCUCCUGAGCACCAGCGGGGUGCCUCUGCGUGCGCUUCUCCUUCUGUCCUCCGGCAGCCCUGAGUGGCAGGAGCCGCUAUCGCUGUUCCUUCUGUGGACGGGGAAACUGAGGCUCAGAGAGCUGCCACGGCCCAGGGCCAGGCAGCCCCUCGGACACAAGGCCGAUGCCAACCCCUGGCGGCUCAGCCUCUCGGGGCAUGGUUAGAACGGGCUCGCUCCGAGGCCGGGGGUCCAGGGAGAGGUCGGGGUGGGGUGGGGGGCCCUGGGCCUCGCCUCCCCCCUUCCAUCGCCGGGGAGCACGACGGGUGCUGGCCGCCGCCGCCUGUUCCUCCUCGGGCCGGCCCGGGAACAAUGCGGCCUCUAUGCCCGCAGCGGGCCCGGGCCGCCUGGGCUCGGGAGCAACAUGGCGCCCAGGGCCGCGCCGCCUGGCCACGGGGAGGGCUGGCGCCUGGGCUGCGCCUGGGCCGGGCCGGCUCCCCCGUCCUCCUCGGGCCAGCCGCUGAGUGGCCAGCCGCGCCUGCUGCCUCCUCCCUCUCCCACUCGGGCCCCCCCCCGCCGCCCCCGCCUGGUGGUGGGUUCGGGGGUCCGGCCCACCCGCCUCUGCCACGUCUGCCAUCCUCCCGGCACCCAGGAGCAUCUUUCAAAAAUUCCCGGUGGGCGGGGCCGAGCCGCAGCGGCCGCCUCUGGCCCCCCCUCCGCGGGCAGCCAGUGCCAGAUGAGAGCAGGAGACAAAAGUAGCAUUUUCCUCGUCCUCCUGGGCUGGAGCAGAGCCUCCCCCAGCACCACUUGGCUCCUGGCAGCCCUGCCUCCGGGUGCCGGGGUGGCCGAGGCCCAGGCCGCGCCGGCCAGGACCGAGGGGACCGAUGGACAAGGUGGCUGGAGAGCAGGACGCCCGAGGGCCCGUCGGACCGGGGCUGGCACCUGGGGACGGCCUGCUGGCCGGCGGGACCUGCCCUCCUCCUGCCGCCACCGUGCCCGGCCAGGCCAGGAGGCGCCCUUGCCACUUCCUUGCCCUGGAGAAAGCUCCUCACGUCCUCCCGACCUGGGCCUCUCGACCCUGGUCUUGGCAUCAGACCUGUACUCACAAGCGGCCCCGGGAACACGGCGCCGGGCGGGGUGCUCCCGCAGGAGUGGGCAAGGUGAACCCCGCACUUUGUUCGGCAAAGCCCAAGGGCAGAAGAGCAGGACCUUCGGGACCGAGGCCGGGGUUCAGACGGAGUCGGUGUCAGUUCCCGGCCGCGUCCGUCAAAGGCAAGUCAUCGCACCUCCCGAUGUCCCCGUUUCACAGAUGAGGAAAGCGUCCCCACCUCACAGUCACGCACGGAACGCACUCAGCCCAGCGCUCCGGUCCCUGAGACCACCCCAUACCCGCUGUUCAUUCUUGGUUGGUUUCUGAGUCUCAGAAAUGCCUGCCAGGCGGGGGUUAACGCCGGCUGUGUUCGGCCAGGGGAGCCCCCCGGCCUGAAGCCGAGGCCCCAGACUCAGCCGGCUGGCCACGGUCAGGAUGGAGGCCGGACCCGGGGCUGCCGUCCCACGUUCGUUCUGCACGUCCACACGGUGUCCAGGUGUGGACGGCGCACCUUUGCCAGGGCGUGGGCCCCACGGUGUGCGCACACGGGUAGUGCCCUCUGCUCUGCCUGGUACGUCGGGGGUUUCCAGAGGUGGACGGGCAUUUGGAGGCACCGUGCCUGCCUGGCUUCUCAGUGAGCCGUGGAGCCCCUGGGCCAUCCCUCGGGACACCUGCUGGGCACCCCGCUGCCCCCCUGUCAUGGGUCCCCUUCCCCAGCCCAGGGCCAGCCAGAGCAGGCUGGACAGGGACCCCAGCUGCUGGGCUUCUGGGAGGUAAAGGAAGGCCCGCUGGCCGGCCUGGCUGCACGCUGGGAGCCGGCCAGGCGCGGAGCGGUCCCCUCGGAGGGCCGGGCUGUUCCAGGCACCGGCCAUUUGCAGACGCUGAGGAGUGGAAGUGAGCCUCUAGGCCCAGGAGAGGAAAUGGCGGCGCGGGCAGGCCCAGAACGGGAUCCGGGAAGGUGGCCGAGGGCGGGGAGCGGCCGGAAGGCACAGGGUGGGCCGCCGGGUGCUCUGGCAGCUGUGCUGUGAGGAGCGGCCCGUGGGGCCAGUCUUCCCGGGCGGGUCUGCGCGCAUGCACGUGUGUGUGCACCUGCGUGCAAGGCCCCGAGAAGCUUCCGCAGCCCCGCUGGCUCAUCAGUAACGGGGGGAGGCUGGGGACGGUCCGAGGAGGCCCUGGGAACACCCAGCACACCUUUGGACAAAAAAAAGAGCUUUGAGGAGAAUGAUAUUUACUGCAGGUCUUAGUUCUGUGUCUUCAAAGCUCGGGAAACGGUCCGACAUGUCAGAUGGGAGCCUGUUUGGGAGGCCCCAGGGGGCUUGUGUGUCCCCUCUUUGGGGCCUCUUAGCAGAGACCAGAGGCCCGGACUCUCCGCGGAGCUGCCUGCCCAUCCAGCCUCAGUUUCCCUGUCCAUAAAGCAUGGGGAUGAGUCCUACCCACAGGUUUCUCGUGGCCUCCAAGGUGAUGAGGUCACUCGCCACUGACCCCCCUUGAAGGGGAGCAGUUGUUGGUGGCUCCCCAGGACUCUGGCUUCUGAGUUUCUGGAGGGGCUAGAAGGGAGGUCGAGGCCAGACCUUUUGAAGGGAGCAGCCGGGGGUGGGGCGGGGGUGGCGGAGGCCAGGCUGCUCCAGCAUGUGCUGGGGAACCUCUGGCCCAGUUUCCUGGGAGCCCAGCCCUGCCCCGGGAUUCCUGCAGUGGGUGUGCCCGCACUUCCGGCCGGCGUGGGCGGAGGGGUCCCGCCGGCGAGCGGAGUUCCCGCCGCUCCCGCCCGCCAGAGCCUCCUGGUUGUGUAGCGGCUUCUGGCUCGAUGGGACGAGGACUCCCACCUGAGCGGGGCAUGUGGGGUCCAGGCAGGUGGCCCCCGGCCCGCCGGCCGCGCACAGGCCCGGGGGACACGUCCGCGGUGGCCUGCAGCAGCGGCAGCGGCAGCGUCACGGGGGCUGAUGCAGGGUAGAGGAGGCGCCCUCCCGCUGGAGCCUUUGCGGUGACGAUCACCCAAAGGGACUAAUCUGAGGGGACUGUGAACCCACCUCGUCAGGGACGGCAUGGCAGCAUCCGACAGACAGGCCUGAGCCCUGAGCACCUGCAACCCACAGAGGGAGGACUCCAGGUAACUCCGGGCCACGGGAAAACCAUGGCUGCUGCUUUGGGGCGGGGGUUCAGUCGGGACGACCAGCAAUGAGAGAUGCCGUAGAAGGCUCUGGGGCCUUUUCUCCUCUGCUCAGUGGGUAUGUAUGAAAGCUGGACUCUAUUGGCCCAUCCGACAUCACUGGUGAGCGGUGGCAUAUCCUGUUAAUUUAGGUCAGACAUUUUCCGUUCAUGAAUUUCCUGCAUGGCCCGCCACUGUGUGGGGCUUAUGGGGGUCCUCCUCCUCCAGGAAGUCCUCACAAACUCCAAGGCCCUCUGGCCCCCUCUGCCCUGCAGUGGGCUGCCCAGCCCCUCCGUAGCACCCACCGCACCCCUCUUCUUUCCCAUCAUUCAUCUUCACGGGUCUGGGUUGUAUGAGGGCGUUGGCAUCCAGACCCUUCCGAGGGCCCGGGACAGGUCUGGGGCAGCUUCCACUGAGGCCCUUUGGAAAGUGUGCCUCGGGGAGAUGGUGCCUGAGCAGUGAGCAGGGGCCUCGGUCCCUCCCCAGCUCUGAGCCUCCAUUUCCCCACCACCUCUGACAUUUGGUGAGUCUCUGGAAGGUUCCCAGGGGCCAGUUGGAGGGGUGGCCUCAGGUGCGCGAAAGAGCUCCUGGGCUUUGGGCGGGGUCUCCCCAGGGAAAGAGGAAAGAUCUAUGCGUAAAGCCAGAGGUGUGUGUCCUCAUGACUCCCCGAACAUGAGAAACAACGUGGCCAGCCACUGUCCUGGGUGGGGUGUCUGGGUCAGGGAGCUGUGACAAAGAUCUCUGACGGGGUGGCAUGGCCCGUUCCACAGACACGGCUGGUGGGAGCCAGUGCCACGGAAGGCUGUGGCCGCCCGCCUUGGUGUGUUUGGGACCCCUCCUGGGGGUGGAGUCUGCCUCGGGCCUGGCUCAGCAGGGGAGAACCGUGGGCUGCCUUUCUCUCCUUUUCUCGGUUCUCCAGAGCUUGUUGAAUUAGGCAAAACUCCUUUAAAUCACAGUUAACCAGCCGGCCAGGGUGACCUCAACCCACCCAAAUCCUCACGGCAGCACGCCGUCCCCCAGAAGGAGAGACGUUUGCAGAAGGCGUGGCAGGUUGCCGUAGGGGGCGGAGGGGGUCGCUGAGAGUGAGGCGCGCGGCAAGGCCCCUCCAGGCCGACGGUGGUGGCGAUGCUGCUACCUUGAGAGGGGACCCCCCUGAAGGGUCCUGUUCUCGUCCCGAGUGUUUGGAGUCUGAUGUCUGGAAGUGACGUCUGUUUGUGGCGACCGGGACCCCUGUUGUCAGGCUGGUGCUGGGGCCUGUUGCAUUGCUGCUGGAGGUAGGGACGUCCUUGUGACGCCCCUCGACCUGCUAGAGCUCAGGGUGGGUGUGUACACGGACCGGCCCCUGGCAGAGACUCGAUUUUCUGGCCCCAGUUGGUAACUGUGCGGCGUGGGCCACUGCCUGGCGAGAGUGCCUGUGGGAUGUGGGGGCCGAGCCUGUGGGGUUGACGUGUGUUCACUUUCACGUUCAUGAUGUCAGCGAUGGCUGCUUCUUAAGAUACCAGACUGAGGCUCAGAGAGCACAGGAGAUUCUCUGCGCCCCGCUGGGCUCUGCUGCCCAGGCCCCUCCCUGGGGCUGGCUGCUCUGCCACUGGGCGCUGUGUCCUUGGGGGUUUGAGCUGGCCUGUGCCUUUCCACACUGGCUGCCGUGGUAGCCGUCAGUUCGCCGAGUCCCAGCUUUACCGGUCCCUGCCAGAGAGCCGUCUGGAACCAACUGAAGCAGCCAACCCGGAGAGGCACCAUGGCUUGGGCCUCUGGCCCUCUGGCCCUCUGGCCAGAGGACGUGGCUGGACCAGCUCACAGCCUCCUUCUGACGCCCCCCGACCUGUCUUGGGUACCUGCAGUCUUGGGUCUCCGACAUGGCACGACCCCAGGGUCAGGCCCCAUCCUCUGCGGGGCAUUCCUACACGGAGAUGAGGGUGAGCUCUGCACAUGAUUUAUUAGCAACUGGCUCUUUCCAUCUGUAGGCUCUUUAUCCCACACGUGACCUUGGAGAAGGCCAAGUUCAAUGCCAAAGAAAAGUAUGGACAGGCAGUUCUGGGGAUCCAUGCUCCCAUGGUUCCGGGCUCUGCAGCUUGGCCAACACAGGGUUCCUGCUGGGGGCUCCCAGCUCUUGCCUCCACGGUGUCCACUCAAGCCCCAGGCCCUAGAGGCUUGGUCCCUGGUGAAGUAAGACGUGGAGAAGGAAUUUCUCCAGGAUAAAGGCCCAAAGUGAGUUCUCACACGUCCUCAAAGCAGCCCAGGGUGGGGGUGGGCAGUGGUGGCCAUGUGGUCCAGGGAGCCCCGUGUGGCCUGGGUGUGCAGCAGGCACCAUCUCUAAUCUUGCGUGUAAAUCUGAGGAGGUAGGUGUUGCUGUCCCUAUAGAACAUAUUGGGAGCCUGAGCCCCAGAGAUGCGGAGGGGCUUGCCCAGAGCUGAAAUGGGAUCUCUGUGGGCCCUGGACUGCCCUGCAGACAGACACAAGAAUGUUCCAGAGACCAGGCUACUCUUGGGCUUGGGCAAGGCGGGGAUUGAACUCUGAGACAUCCUUCCGGGUCCCAGGGUUGGGCACCAGCCUCAUUGUGCCAAAGCCUUCCAGAGUCUGGAACUGCAUGGGGGAAGACAGUUGCCAAGACAGCCUGGGCUGACCCUUCAUCCAAGUGACCACACCGUGGGGCACAGUCUCCGAGAGGGAACAGGCCCCAGUGCAGGGCCUCCAAGAGAAGUGAUGGUAGGCGUCAUCAUGAGCCAGCUGUGGGCUUGGGACAUGUACUUUGGUCAUUGGGAACGCCCACCACAGUUCUCCGGCGUCACAGGAGGGAAGGGCAGGAGGGGCGACCUUGUGCCUGCAGCCACACACCAGGUGGAGACCGCGGAUCUGGCCAGCCCCCCACACUUCCUCAGCCUCUCUCGUGAUCUCUGGGACGUGCGGGCCCAAGCUCAUUAGUGACCCUGAGGGGGGCAGGGGCCUCUGGCCUCCCUCCCCGCCCCGCCACAGCCCAUGGGCCGGCGUCUUGAGGGAGGACAGCUUUCAGAAGGCUUAGGCAGCCCCGAGGGAGAACGAGGCACUCACAAGACUUGCAUGGGCUCUGCGGGCAGGCAGCGCCGGAGUCGUCUGGCUCGGCGCACGGAGACUGGAAACAGGCAGCAGUGAGGUGGGAGGCCAAGGGAGUGGGCCCUGCGUCCCGUGCCUGGUGGCCACAGCCUGGCUGUUCUGUGCCGUCACCGGGAGAGUGGCGGCAAGGGUGUGGGAGCAACAGAGUGUCCCGGGGGGAGAGCAUUCCGUCAGUGCCGCCUGCGGCUGGAAGGGGCUUCACGUCCCCUGCCCUGGGCAGCCGUCCUCGUGAGUUCUCAGCCGUGGCCACAUGUGGCUCCUGUGCCGUACAGGGAUCGGGCCAGGAUCCCAGAACCAAACCUGCUGCCACAGCUGGAACUCUGCUCACCUGUUAGGACGGAAUUUCCACAGCCCCUGUGUCUCAAGCAGGCCCAGGGUGGCCUUGUCCUUGUUUGUCACCUCCUCCGGCUCCCUGGAAGCUUGAUUUCUGCGGCUAACAUCAACUAGUCGUAGAGAAUAGGUCCGUUUGUAAACAGGGGACCUCGGCUGCUGGGCCUGUGGGCACGACGGUGUGCCGCCCAUGGCAGCCGCCCUCUGUGAGCCCAACCAGGCUGUGCGCGCUGUCCGGGGUGGGGGGUGAGGUUGUGUGCUCCGUUGGCUCCCCUGUGCAGUUUCGGGGUUCUCCUUUCCUGGGCAGACCCUCGGGUGCUGUCCCAUCAGCUCCAGGUGAAGGCAUCAGAGACGCCCCAGUUCGAGGCACUUCCUGACCCGCCCAUCUUACAGGUGCAGGCAGAUGGGCCCCGGGGUCAUUACACAUGGGUGCCUGGCGGGGCUCGGUCCCGCUGGGAGGAGAGGCAGGGAGGGUGUCCCCGCCAGGGACCAAGGGCUGUGCUGCCUCGGGGCAGUCCCUUCUCAGGGGUGCUCUUCUCCUAUAAAACAGGGCAGUGAGGUGCUCAGGCCCAGAAACCCCACCCUGCAGCUAGGGAAGCUGAGGCUAAGAGCGGCCUCUCGAUGAUGAGAGGCAGGAAACAGGAUUAGAACCCAGAGCUGUGUGACUUGCAGGCAGAGUGCAUUGGGCUCACAAGUCCCCUAGGCCCCCCUCUUCAGCAUUGGUGUUGGGGUUCCACAUAGCGUUUCGGGGUGGGAGUCUGAACACAUUCUGGGGAGCCCACGAGCCAGUCUCCUGCAGCCUCUGAGGGCCUGAUGAGUCCCAUGACCCCCUCUGCCCGAGGUGGGGGAGCUGCAAGCCAGUUAGUGGCAACUGGUCCCUCUUGGCCCCGGUGGCUCCCUGCUCCAGGUGGGACCUGCUUGGUGAUGGGGUCUGGGGAAGCUUGUCCCCGUGGGGGGACAGAGCAGCUGCAGUCUCACACCGGGGUGGGGGGUGGGCUGUGGGAGUUUCCCAGCUCUCGCGGUCAUGUUCAGGAAGUCGGGAGGGCUCACAGAGGCCAGGGGAGGAGGGUGUGGAAGGGACGCAGACCCAGGGCCCAGUGCCCAGACGCUGCCUUCCUCCUGGCCGCCCACUCACGCUCAGCCUGGGGCAGAGGCAGAGUGGCUCCCGCUGAGGCCCAGCCUGGCCCCUCUCUGUGGUGAGCUGGGCCUGGGUUUGGGUCUGCCGUUCUGUCCUCACAGACGGAGCCAGCCCCCUGCUUUGGGGGAACCUGGACCCGGUUGUGGGGAGGGUCCUGGAGGCGGGGCAAGUUCAAGAGCCUGGCCUCUGGCUCACCCUGAGCCAGGUGCUCUGAGGGCACCCUGGGGCCUUGCAGUCCUGCUCAGUCAGUCCUCGGGUGUCCUCUCACUGGCUCGUUGGGAAAAGGCCCAGAGUUAGGUCUACGCAUUCUGAGCCCAGAUACAGACAUGGUUCCAAGAGCCAGGGCUGGGGGUGGUGGCACUUCCCUGCCAUCCUGGGGGCCUCUUGGGUGCUGGGCUCUGCGCUGGGCCAGGGUGUACCCAGCCACAUGGGAGCUGGUCUCUGAUGCAGAGCUGCCAGCCCUGGGGGGGGAUGGGCAGUACCAGACCUACAGCCUCCAACCAGAGCUAGGGAGACUCUGACUCGGGCGGCAACCCUGCGAGAGCGGAAGAUGCUGGCUGGGCCCCACGGAAGCCAGUGGCUGGGGUUUGGUUCGGUGGGGGGAUUCCAGACCAGGCCUGGAGCUGGGAGAGCAGACGAGGCUUCCCUUGCUGCCCAUAACCUCUGGGCACAUCUGUGCCCUGCCUACCAUGAGCUGGGCCCCUCUGCUAGUGGUGGUGCCUGGUAAAAUAGAGGCAGGGGAGAGUCACACCGAGCCCCCUCCCGUUCUCGGGGUCAUGUGCCACCAGGCCUGCCCGGCUGAUUCUUUGGUCACCUGUGUCUUUCAGAAGGUGACUCAUCCCAGAGUACCCCCAAGGAGGCGGGACCCAUCAUGGUUUUUGGGAGACACUCCAGGACCACAGAGCCCAGGUAGAUGGUCUUGGCCCUGGGCCAGGGCAGGGAGGCAACCCGGGAGGUGGGCGGCCUGACCAGGAAGGGAAUGUGAGCCCGUCUUUCAGAAGAGCCCAACUCCAGCCCCUCGGGCCCAGCCUGCAGCCAGGCCCACCCUUCCUGAGGGAUUCAUUCUGGCCCCUUGCAGGUGGCCGAGGUCCCACUCCGGGACGAGCAGUGAGGGCAGAGCAAAGGAUUCGUUGGCCUGCCGUGUGCCCUUGCCUCGCCCUGAGUGCCCAGCCUGCCCUGCAGCCUGAAGACCCUGAUUGGCCUCCUCGAAGCUGGUGGAAUCAGGGCCGGCCAGGAGGGCUGAGUUGUUGGCACAGAGACUGUCCCGAGCGAGCUCCGAGCCAUGGCCGCCUGCAUGGUGCCAAGUGAUGGGCAUGCCCAGCCCCCCAGCCGCAAGCCGUCCUCCUGGACGCGGGAGGACACGCUCUGCCAGAGCCCCAGUCUCCUCUCCUGGGAGGCUGGGGCAUAAGCCGCUCCUGGGGGAGUGUUGGGGACGCACUGUGGAUCCCAGAGCACGCAUGGCUUCUGUGACAGGCCAGGGGGACGGGACACAAGUCCUGGCACACACCGGGCUCCCGAGAAGCUCAGUGGCUUACGCCUCACUGAAGGCUAGACAGGUGUCGGGGCCACCCUGGAGCUCUCCUGGCUCCUCCCCUCACUGGAGCUCAGUGGGGUCCAGUUCCUUACAUCUGUCGGUCGGGGUUUAUGUGCUGGUGUUAAUAUGUGAGGUGGGACAGGUCGAGGCAGAGUGGGGACUGGGGCCGCCAGGGGCCUUGUUGGCGGCCUCUCUGAGGCAGCCAGGAGGGUCUCCGCACCCCCAGGAACCCAGGCCUGCUGUGGCCAUGGGUUAGUUUCACAGCCUUGGGGAGACAGCCAAGCAGGGAGGGGUCUCCACCCCGACCCCAAGAUCCAAGCGGCUCUGUGUGGCGGUCAUGGGUCUGUUUGCACGACCGCAGGACAGGGAGCCUCCCUGGCCACAGCAGGUGCUAUGGGGGGCCUGCCAGAGGUCUGGCCUGGUUGCAUUCCCGACACCGAGGCUCUGUCGGUGUCCUGGGGCAGCACCUCCAUACCCAGGGUCGGCCUGGGGGCAGCCACUGCCAACCCUGAGGGCUUGUGGGUGUGGCCACACCAUGGCAGGGGACUAAGCCACAGGGUCCAGAUCAAAACUGGGUCCCAGACCUACCUGGCCUGCACUGCUGUGUGGUCUGGGGAAAGCCAAGACCUCUCCAUGGGUUUCUGUUUCUCAUUUGCAAAAGGGGCAUCCAGACCUCUUCCUAACACAGCCCACUCCCCAUUCCCAGUCAGAGCAGAGGAGGGAGCCUCUUCCAGCCAAGAGGUUGGGGGGGCGGUUGUCUGACUUGGAAUCAGUCCUAACCCAUUACUUGCAAAAAUGAAGCCUCCACACAUAGCCCCCACUGAUCACUUGGGCAGAGAGGGAACUAAGGUGUUCCACAUUGAAGUGCUGCUGUAUAAAUAAAUAAACGUAGAUAAAAAAUACAUAGAUCUAUACUAAAGCUUAGAGCAACAAAGAUAAUGCAGAAAGAUAAAAAGAGAGAAAAUUAAGGCAAAAGGAGAGGCAAAGGUAGGCCUAAAAGAAGCCACGUCGCAUAGAAGUCUCUGGCUGCUAGUAAUGACUUGUCAGUUCAGCUCUGAGCAUCCCAGCAGCCAAGCAAAGAGGAAAAGCUGUCCUUUGCAGGAAGUGGUGUUCAGGACAUAGCGUCCGCAAUGGGGAUGUCAAGAGAGCUGCCUCGUGCCGGCAGGAUGUCCUGAAGCCCUGGGCGAGGCUGGAGGGGGCACGCUCCCCCACGCUCCGCCAUGCUCCCCCACGCUCCCUCACGCUCCCCGGGGCUAUUCUCCUCUCCUCCUGAGCCCCUCCCACACUGCACCUGAUGCUCCCGUGAACCACUUCAGCGGAGGGAGAGGCAGGCCUUGCCUUGGCUGAUCUUGGAACAUGUGUCCCUCUGGUCCCGGGUCCGCCCGCUGUGUGCCUGUCCCUGCCACUGGCUGCUGCCCUGGGAGAUGGGUGCCUCAGAAAAUCCAGUGGUGCCACUGGAAUGGGGUGCCCUUCCCAGGGUUUGGGACACAAAGCCUCACUGAUGCAUCGGCUUCAUGGCCCUUGGGGUCCUGGAGGCGGCCUCCCAGGCUGUCAGGGCAGCGCGGGCCGGGGCUGGGGGUACUGACACAGGGCAGGGCCUGGGCUCUCCUUCCCGAGACUGACAUGGCAUCUCUCUGUUUCCAGGACCCACGCCUCUUCCUGCCUCCUCGUUCUGCAGGUGACCCUGAAACUCCGAUGACUCUGCCUCUCAGGUCAGUGCCGCAUUUUGAACCUUGAGAGUCAGGGCUCACCUCUUCCCCCCAGGUACCACCCUGGGCUGGGCGCGUUGGAAGUGGGACUAACACACACACACAC